CGGGACUGGCGGGGCUCGAAC
rnacentral:tRNA from 1 species